CUGCCUUGUAUCAGCACUUCCUCAUUUAAUGCAGGGAGUUGGUUCCAGUACUGCAUUCGAUUUCCAGCCCUCUUAAGCAAAGUAUCAAGAAAAUCCAGACACGUUUCCCAUGCUUAAGAGCAGGCUGGGGAUAGUGCCAAGUUUCAGUAUGGACUGCUGAAUUAUCAGAGCUAUCUCAAAGAAGCCAGAUCUGGAGUUCUAUUUGCACAUUCACCUGUGAGUGCCCUGAAAGCCAGAUACUAAGGGAAAACCACCCCAGCUAAUGGAGUGCAUGGUGGUAUUAAUGGAGUGAAAGAUUCACAGUGACUGGGACACUGCAAAAAUGAACAGGGAAUAUGUCUUCUGGAUACUCUCCUACUCACUGCUGUGCUUUUUCCCUGGUGCUGUUCCCCACACAACUUUGUGCCACGCAGUCAGCGGAGACACCGUUAUUUUGCCCUGUGCCAUUAAGACUUCUGAAAAGCUGAACAUUUCCAAUUAUUAUAUAUACUGGCAGAUACAUACGUCAGUGGUAGUGCAUUUGUUUUACAAUGGGAAGGACUUGUUGACAGAGCAGUCCAGAAGAUACCACAACAGAACCAGGCUCUUUUUGGAUCAGCUGGAGCAUGGUAACUUUUCUCUAAUGCUCUCUGGAGUUGAGCCUGCUGAUGAAGAUGUGUAUACCUGCAUCUUUAGAAACAAAGUGAGCAAAACUAUGGACACACGUGAAGUUAAACUCAACGUCUCAUCUCCAGAUAAUCAAUUGAUGGAAAUAAAUGUUUCCCCUACUGGGCAAAAUCAGCAUUUACCAAAUGGUCCUGGGGAUGCAAACGCUCUGGAUAUUCUUGUACUCUGGUCUCACUUCCUGAUGGUGUUGGUGAUUUGGAUCUUGUAACUGUGAAAUCAGGGCUUUUGUCUGCAAACUUGUCCUGACAAGUGACUCUUGCAGCACACCACCCAUCUGUAAGGGUUGCACAACUACUGUUCCAGAAGCCACAAACAACAAGGCAUCACCAUGUGAAAACUGGCCUUAUAUUAAGCACCUAUAACCAUAGUUUGGUGCUCAAACAAGCAAUGUUAUUUUUCAUAGGCACUGGCCAUCUGCAGGUCCAAGUGACUUCAGUCACAGGUAAUGAGCCUGAUUUUUCAUCCAUCUGCAAGAGCCUAGCUUUAGGCUUCCACGUUUGAAAAUUCUAGCCCUAAAAUUUUUGUGUGCGUUUUUUGACGACAAUUUUGAAUCCAACUGAGGUUCACAGUGUUAUUAUAAUUGUCCUUCAUGUGAUCUUUCACAUAAGAUUGCAUGAGCUUUACAAAAAGGGGAAGUAAAAGAAGGAGAAAGCGUAGUCGUCUUAUACGUCAGAGAAAAACUGGAAGUUGUGGGGGUGGCUGCCUUUGCGAAAAUCAAGGGUGAAAACAUUGUGACAGGAAACUUGAGGCUGUGAACUAUGGCUGUGUCUCCUUUUACUCUGAUGCAUCAACUACAUCAUCAGUACAAAGAAAUCCUUUCAUCAGCCAAAGGAGAAGUUGUUGGCAGAGAACGUUAAAAAAAAAAGCGAACAAUUCCAGAGGAAGAGUGCUGCAUACUACAGAUAAGCCAAAGACUUUGUUAGUUUUUCUUAUACCCUUCCCCAAAGAAAGUUAGAUGCAGCCAACUGAAAGGUACAGAACUGCUGUGAAGUAGGGGGAAGUGGCUUAUAAGUGGCAGCACUUUUUAAGUAUACACAAGUAUUUUUUGCUACAGCUGAAGUCACUCCACUCUCCUUCAUAAAUAAGGUUUCAGAGUAGCAGCUGUGUUAGUCUGUAUCCACAAAAAGAGCAGGAGUACUUGUGGCAUCUUAGAGACUAACAAAUUUAUCUGAGCAUAAGCUUUUGUGGGCUACAGCCCACUUCGUCGGAUGCAUAGAAUGGAACUUAUAGUAAGGUAAUAUAUAUAUACACAUACAGAACAUGAAAAGGUGGGAGUUGCCCAACCAACUCUAAGAAGUUAAUUAAUUAAGAUGAGCAAUUAUCAGGAGAAAAAAAAACUUUUGUAGUGAUAAUCAAGAUGGCCCAUUUCAGAUAGGUUGACAAGGUGUGAGGAUACUUAACAUGGGGAAAUAGAUUUAAUGUGUGUAAUGGCUCAGCCAUUCCCAGUCUCUAUUCAAGCCUAAAUUGAUGGUAUCUAGUUUGCAUAUUAAUUCAAGUUCAGCAGUUUCUUGGUGGAGUUUGUUUUUGAAGCUUUUCUGUUGCAAGAUUGCCACCUUUAAGUCUGUUACUGAGUGACCAGAGAGGCCUAAGAAUUCUCCUACUGAUUUUUAAAUGUUAUGAUUCCUGGUGUCAGAUUUGUGUCCAUUUAUUCUUUUGCGUAGAGACUGUCCGGUUUGGCCAAUGUACAUGUAUGUAAUGUUCUCUGUAUGUGUAUAUGUAUCUCCUUACUAUGUGUUCCAUUCUAUACAUAUGAUGAAGUGGACUGAAGCCCACAAAAGCUUAUGCUCAAAUAAAUUUGUUAGUCUCUAAGGUGCCA
rnacentral:lncRNA from 1 species